CUCUCUUCCCUUCCCUUACUCCCUUCCCUCCCUUCAUUUUUCUCAAUAAACUUCCUUCCUAGGCAUGUUUGUCCCUUGCCUGCCAAAGAGCCCCCUCGAGUAACACUUGCUCUUACAAAGAAUAAUAAUAUGAUUCAAUGAGGCUCCCUUACAGUUCAGACCUUGUAGCAGUCAGUCUGAGGAUUCCUAGAGACAGGAUCGCCCAUUUGGUUUGAGGAUUCAGUAGAGCUUUAACCACAGAGAGAUGAGCAGGAGGAAAGAAGAGGGCAUUGGAUCCUCCUGAAACCGGAGCGAUGUUAGAAACUGAGCCCAGGUCCUCUGCAGCUGCGGUAUGAUAGCUAAUCUGGUUGUCAACUUGACUACAUUUGGAAUCAACUAAAACCCAAGAAGCUGACCACAUCUGUGAUCAUGAUUAGAUUAUUUGAGAAUCCAUAUAUAAUUGGAAAAGCCCAUCACUAUCUUAAAAAAAGAAAGGAAUGGACAUUCAACACACAAUUUGACAUGACAGUUCCCCUUGAGAUGAACUUUCUUCUCACUAGAAAGAGAGAGAGAAAAAAAAGAAAGAAAGGAAGGAAGAAAGGAAGGAAGGAAGAAAGAAAGGAAGGAUGGAAGAAAGAAAGGAAGGACGGAAGGAAGAAAGAAAGAAAGGAAGGAAGGACGGAAGGAAGAAAGAAAGAAAGAAAGAAAAGAAGGACGGAAAGAAGAAAGAAAGUCACUCACACACAUUGGGAUUAUCUUUACUUCUACCAUUUGUGCAUGGUGAGCUGUCUGAAGCCCAACUCUCACCCUAAAUGGCAUACCACAGUCAUUGAGAAAUGCACUAUGGGUAGAAUGCCACUAAGGACCCUAAAUGGUUACUGAAUGAUUCACACAGAAGAAAUCUGUAUGAUACUGCAAAAACUUUGAGAGCUAAGCUGCCAAGGAAUCAAAUAGGAUGUUGAAAUCUGAAUCUAAUGAGGUUGAUUAUUUGCUAAAUUAAAAUAAAUUAAUAAAACUUAAUAAUUAAUAAGA